rnacentral:rRNA from 1 species
UACGGGGGGAGCAAGCGUUGUUCGGAUUUACUGGGCUUAAAGGGUGCGUAGGCGGCGCAGUAAGUUGGGUGUGAAAUCCCUCGCUUAACCGAGGAAUUGCGCCCAAAACUACUGUGCUCGAGGGAGAUAGAGGUGAGCGGAACUUAGGGUGGAGCGGUGAAAUGCGUUGAUAUCCUAAGGAACACCAGUGGCGAAAGCGGCUCACUGGAUCUCUUCUGACGCUGAGGCACGAAAGCUAGGGUAGCAAACGGG